CGCACAUUGCGCCCUCUGGUAUUCCGGAGGGCAUGCCUGUUUGAGCGUCAUUUCUCUCUCAAGCUCCCCCGCUGGUGUCUCUGGCUCUAGCGGGAGGGGGCUUGGUAUUGAGUGGUACUCGGGCUUCUGGGUUAACUUGAAAUACAAGGCAAGAGUGGUGCUGACUGGCGGCCUCUGGCUCGAGAUAAUGUAUUAGGUUCUACCAACUCGUUAUAUCAGCCGGGGUAUCAGCGUCGGCGCACGCAGCUCGGCCUAACAACAACCUUUCACAAAGUUUGACCUAAAAUCGGGUAGGACUCCCCGCUGAACUUAA
rnacentral:misc_RNA from 1 species